AUAGGAAAAUUAAAUACGCAAAACUGACAUCAAAAUAGGAUAGAGCUUGUCGAAACGAGAAUUCUGAUACCAAUUUCGAAAAGUUUGGCCCAAGAUUGGGCCGGAUGGGCCGAACUGGUUGAACCGGACCCAAAAUGGGCCCAAGGCCCAACCAAACCCAAUCCAUUAAAGAGGCACAGCUUCUUAUUUCCCUUCUUCUUCAUUAUUCACGCUGGGAAACAUUCUUAGGGGGAAGAAGAACACAAGCAAAAACCUAACCCUCACUUUAAUUUCAAAUCCAUGUAACUUUUGAUCCGGAGCUCCGAUUGACGAACCGUUUGCGACCACGCGUUCACCGUGACGAGCUCUAUGAAACCCAUGGAACAAUUUGGUUCAAGUUAGCUUCCGGAACUUGUGGGCUCAAGCUAUUGAGCAUAUGGGUAUGGUGUAGAUUAAGUGGGUAUAUAUGCAUUGGGAAUAUUUAGAGGCUUGUUGGUGAUCAAAGCUUAGUUUGUGGCUAUUUUUGCUUGAGCUUGAAGAGGCUGUAAUUUUGUGUUGAGAAGCUGCCUUGGGUGAAUUAAGUGAUCGGCCAAGAUGCAGGUCGAGAGGCUCCUCGCUAGGCGUCUGGAUUCUGGAAAGCGAAGUAGUUCUUGGGUG